rnacentral:rRNA from 1 species
GACAAACGCUGGCGGCGUGCUUAACACAUGCAAGUCGAACGGAAAGGCCCUGCUUUUGUGGGGUGCUCGAGUGGCGAACGGGUGAGUAACACGUGAGUAACCUGCCCUUGACUUUGGGAUAACUUCAGGAAACUGGGGCUAAUACCGGAUAGGAGCUCCUGCUGCAUGGUGGGGGUUGGAAAGUUUCGGCGGUUGGGGAUGGACUCGCGGCUUAUCAGCUUGUUGGUGGGGUAGUGGCUUACCAGGGCUUUGACGGGUAGCCGGCCUGAGAGGGUGACCGGCCACAUUGGGACUGAGAUACGGCCCAGACUCCUACGGGAGGCAGCAGUGGGGAAUAUUGCACAAUGGGCGGAAGCCUGAUGCAGCAACGCCGCGUGCGGGAUGACGGCCUUCGGGUUGUAAACCGCUUUCGCCUGUGACGAAGCGUGAGUGACGGUAAUGGGUAAAGAAGCACCGGCUAACUACGUG